AGUGGCAGUCUUUGUCGCAGGUAAAUAUGAUAUUCAAUAGGCACUGCCAAUGACUAUUGAGAUUUUCCAUGAGGGAAUGAACUUUUAACUUAAAAAAAGGGGAGGGUAGUUAUGUUUUUUCUUUAAAAAAAUGUUCCGAUACCAAAUUUGAUGAAAAAAACCCAUAAAAAACAUAAAGCAAAAAAAAAAAAAAUCUGAAUGCAGAUUUCCCCAAUACCUUAUAGCAUAAAAUUUUGAAAAAAUCAUUUGAUUGAGAGCGUCGAAA
rnacentral:lncRNA from 1 species